UGAACGCUAGCGACAGGCUAACACAUGCAAGUCGAGGGGUAACAGGGUAGCAAUACCGCUGACGACCGGCGCACGGGUGAGUAACGCGUAUGCAACCUGCCUAUAACUGGGGAAUAGCUCCCUGAAAGGGGAAUUAACACCGCAUAACACUAUUGAUUCGCAUGGAUUAGUAGUUAAAUGUAGCGAUACAGGUUAUAGAUGGGCAUGCGUGACAUUAGCUAGUUGGUGAGGUAACGGCUCACCAAGGCUACGAUGUCUAGGGGUUCUGAGAGGAAGGUCCCCCACACUGGUACUGAGACACGGACCAGACUCCUACGGGAGGCAGCAGUGAGGAAUAUUGGUCAAUGGGCGCAAGCCUGAACCAGCCAUGUCGCGUGCAGGAAGACUGCCCUAUGGGUUGUAAACUGCUUUUAUAGUAGAAGAAACACAUCUACGUGUAGAUGUCUGCCAGUAUACUAUGAAUAAGCAUCGGCUAACUCCGUGCCAGCAGCGGC
rnacentral:rRNA from 1 species